UAGCUUUUCAAAGUCUUAGAAUCCUUAAACCCAGUUCAUAGAAAAGAUGGUCGGAAUGCAUUUGGCUUCCUCCUUCUUCUUCUUCUUCGAGGUUGCGCGGGGCUCCCCCCGCUCGCCAUUUUCGGCGGUGGUGUAACACCCCACACUUUUAACUUUUUGUUUUGACUCCAAUUUACUUUAAGUUUGGACCUUUUCGUAAUUUCGGAUCUUCGAGGGACUCGGUAGCUUUUUGUUGCUUAAUUAGUCCCUAACUAAUUAGACCCCUUUUUUUGAUACGAGCCCCCCCCCCAGACCCGAUCCACCUCUCUCUUUCGCUCGAUCCCCCUCUCAUCUCUACGCCCGUACGACUUCCGCCGAUCCCCUUUGUGCACGCGCGACGCCAUCCGUUCCCUAUCGUCGCCGCCGUCAUCCGUAGCCGCCUCCACCGCGUUGCUCAUUGGCCAUUAUUUCCUUUUGGUUCGUUAUCGACGGAAUCUUGCCGUCGUCUCCACCGUUUUCAAGAAGGUCCCGACGAUUGAAUUUCUGCACAUUUUCGACUGGAUAGUUUCUAUCUUUGAAGCUACGUUAAGGUACUGAGACCGAUUCGCAGGGCGGGGCUGGGAGCGAGUGAACGUUAGAUGUAGCUAGAUUUGAUUCUAGCCUCUUCGUCUUAUUUCUAUUGCAUUUAGAUAUGAACUUUGAACUUCGUAGAUAAUCAUUCGUUUAUCUGUUCCUACUUUAUUGUUUCUUCGAACCUACAAUAUCUGUUAGAACAAUUUCGGUUUGUGUUGCAUCAUAAAUUUUAGUUUUGCUUAUAGGAUACGUCAGUUGAUUUUAGUUGAAAUUAAAUUGUUAGCCUCAUUUUUCGACUAUUUGGAUUUAAUAGAAAUUUUUCUUUAUGAUCAUCUUUUGUUUGUUAAUUGUCUGACUCUGUAGCCUUGCAUAUUUACUAAUUUAGUAGAUAUGCGGCAUCUGUUAUGCCUCGGGUUUGGGGCGUGACA